GGAUCGAUGAUGAGCACAAUUAUCUGAGGACGCUGAGGGACGCAUUGCAGAUGUCAAUCUGAGGUCC
ensembl:snoRNA